CGACUUCCAUCUGCUGCGGGCAGAUAAAGUGGAUAUGCGUAUCCACCCCGCCGGCCGUUACGAUUUUCCCUUCGCCGGAAAUGACUUCUGUUCCGGCACCGAUAAUCAUGUACGGGUCCACCCCAUCCAUGAUAUCAGGAUUGCCGCUUUUUCCGACGCCGACAAUCCGGCCGUCCUUCACCCCGAUAUCCGCCUUGACGAUUCCGGUAUAAUCCAGGAUAACGGCGUUUGUAAUGACCAGAUCAAGCGCUCCGUCUUUCCCGGUGAUACGCCCGUUCUGCCCCAUGCCG
rfam:Bacillus amyloliquefaciens FZB42, complete genome.